rnacentral:rRNA from 1 species
AACGAGCGCUGGCGGCAUGCCUAACACAUGCAAGUCGAACGAGACCUUCGGGUCUAGUGGCGCACGGGUGCGUAACGCGUGGGAACCUGCCCUUAGGUUCGGAAUAACUCCCCGAAAGGGGUGCUAAUACCGGAUAAUGUCUUCGGACCAAAGAUUUAUCGCCUUUGGAUGGGCCCGCGUUGGAUUAGCUAGUUGGUAGGGUAAAAGCCUACCAAGGCGACGAUCCAUAGCUGGUCUGAGAGGAUGAUCAGCCACACUGGGACUGAGACACGGCCCAGACUCCCACGGGAGGCAGCAGUGGGGAAUAUUGGACAAUGGGCGAAAGCCUGAUCCAGCAAUGCCGCGUGAGUGAUGAAGGCCUUAGGGUUGUAAAGCUCUUUUACCCGGGAUGAUAAUGACAGUACCGGGAGAAUAAGCUCCGGCUAACUCCGUG